rnacentral:rRNA from 1 species
GACGAACGCUGGCGGCGUGCCUAAUACAUGCAAGUAGAACGCACAGUUUAUACCGUAGCUUGCUACACCAUAAACUGUGAGUUGCGAACGGGUGAGUAACGCGUAGGUAACCUGCCUGGUAGCGGGGGAUAACUAUUGGAAACGAUAGCUAAUACCGCAUAAUAUUAAUUAUUGCAUGAUAAUUGAUUGAAAGAUGCAAUUGCAUCACUACCAGAUGGACCUGCGUUGUAUUAGCUAGUAGGGGAGGUAACGGCUCACCUAGGCGACGAUACAUAGCCGAACGGAGUGGGUGAGCGGCCACACUGAGACUGAGACACGCCCCAGACGCCUACAGGAGGCAGCAGUAGUGAAUCUGCGGCAAGGGACGGAAGUCUGUGCGAGCAACGCCGAGUGAGUGAAGAGGGUUGUCGGGUCGGAGAGCUCUGUUGUAAGAGUAUAACGGGUGUGAGCGUGGAAAGUUCACAGUGUGACGGUAACUGACCAGAAAGCGACGGCUAACUACGUG